rnacentral:rRNA from 1 species
AUUGAACGCUGGCGGCAGGCCUAACACAUGCAAGUCGAACGAGUGGCGGACGGGUGAGUAAUAUGUGGGAAACUCCCCGAUGGAGGGGGAUAUCUACUGGAAAAGGUAGCUAAUACCGCAUACCCUCGGAUGUGCGCAGAUGGGAUUAGAUAGUAGGUGGGGUAACGGCUCACCUAGGCGACGAUCCCUAGCUGGGUUGAGAGGAUGACCAGCCACACUGGAACUGAGAAACGGUCCAGACUCCUACGGUAGGCAGCAGUGGGGAAUAUUGCACAAGGGGGGCAAGCCUGAUGCAGCCAUGCCGCGUGUAUGAAGAAGGCCUUCGGGUUGUAAAGUACUUUCAGCGAGGAGGCGUUACCCGCAGAAGAAGCACCGGCUAACUCCGUGCCAGCCGCCGCGGUAAUAC